UGUUUGUGCCAGCAGUCGCGGUUAUACCUAAGUUGUUGUCACCUAACUAAAUAAAAUUGAAAUGACAUUGCUUGACUAAGAGCUGUCGCUUUUAAGUUAAAUUUAUAGGUGACUAGCAAAUUAUUACAAAGUCAACUAUUUAUGAAAUAAAGUUUUAAGCAACCAGGAUUAGAUACCCUGUUAGCCUUUGAUUAAAAAUAUUUUGGGUAGUACAAAGGGAAACCCAAAUAACUUGGCGGCCCUUCGACCAAUUAGGGGAACUUGACACGUAAUUGAUACUACACAACAUACCUGAUCUAAUUUUGGCAGUAAUGCCAGCAGUUAGCAUAUCGCUGUUGUACGCCUUUUUAAAGAAAAGCCGGUAUUUUAUCUAUGAAUUAGAUGAAUUGACCACAAGUCAAGAUGCUAUUAAUGAUUAGAAUGUAUUUGUUGAGUUACUAUAAGAAAUUUAUUGAGAAAACCUCAAACUAUUUUGGGGUAUAAAUAGGACUUAAAUGUAAGGUUAGGGAAUAAAAAAUUGUUCAGCAUAAAGAGAUAAUCUGAAGAAGGCUACUGAGGGUGCACAUAUCGCCCGUCACUCUUCCCGACUAUUAUUUGUUUUUAUAACUGAGGGAAGAUAAGUCGUAACAUAGUAGGGGUAAAUA
rnacentral:rRNA from 1 species